rnacentral:rRNA from 1 species
CCUACGGGAGGCAGCAGUGGGGAAUAUUGCACAAUGGGGGCAACCCUGAUGCAGCGACGCCGCGUGGGUGAUGAAGUACCUCGGUGUGUAAAGCUCUAUCAGCAGGGAAGAAAAUGACGGUACCUGACUAAUAAGCCCCGGCUAACUACGUGCCAGCAGCCGCGGUGAUACGUAGGGGGCAGGCGUUAUCCGGAUUUACUGGGGGUAAAGGGGGCGUAGACGGCGUGGCAAGUCUGCAGUGAAAGGCCGGGGCUCAACCCCGGGACUGCAGUGGAAACUGGCAGGCUGGAGUGCAGGAGGGGUAAGCGGAAUUCCUAGUGUAGCGGUGAAAUGCGUAGAUAUUAGGAGGAACACCGGUGGCGAAGGCGGCUUACUGGACUGUAACUGACGUUGAGGCUCGAAAGCGUGGGGAGCAAACAGGAUUAGAUACCCGUGUAGUC